GAAUCUGGCUUCAGGUUCGGGACAACAGUUGGAAACGGCUGCUAAUACCGGAUGUGCCUUAGGGUGAAAGAUUUAUCACCUGAAGAUGAGCUCGCGUCUGAUUAGCUAGUAGGUGUGGUAAGAGCGCACCUAGGCGACGAUCAGUAGCUGGUCUGAGAGGAUGAUCAGCCACACUGGGACUGAGACACGGCCCAGACUCCUACGGGAGGCAGCAGUGGGGAAUUUUCCGCAAUGGGCGAAAGCCUGACGGAGCAAUACCGCGUGAGGGAGGAAGGCUCUUGGGUUGUAAACCUCUUUUCUCAGGGAAGAAUGAUGACGGUACCUGAGGAAUAAGCAUCGGCUAACUCCGUGCCAGCAGCCGCGGUAAUACGGAGGAUGCAAGCGUUAUCCGGAAUGAUUGGGCGUAAAGCGUCCGCAGGUGGCAGUUCAAGUCUGCUGUCAAAGACCGGGGCUUAACUUCGGAAAGGCAGUGGAAACUGAACAGCUAGAGUAUGGUAGGGGCAGAGGGAAUUCCUGGUGUAGCGGUGAAAUGCGUAGAGAUCAGGAAGAACAUCGGUGGCGAAGGCGCUCUGCUGGACCAUAACUGACACUCAGGGACGAAAGCUAGGGGAGCG
rnacentral:rRNA from 1 species